rnacentral:misc_RNA from 1 species
GGGUUAUCACUGCCCCCUGAAGCCGGCUACCCAUUAACUCCCAAGGGGCCCAAGUUCUACAUGCUGGAGGUGCACUACGACAACCCCAACAGCCACACCUUCAAGGACGAGUCUGGGAUACGCAUCAUCUACACCCCAGAAUUACGUUACUACGAUGCAGGUGUACUGAGCAUCGGUCUGGAACCCAGCUGGAAACAUCUCAUUCCCCCACGACAACGGACUGUACUGUCUGAGGGCCACUGUGUAGCGGAGUGUACCCAGGCUGCCCUGCCCACCACUGGCAUCAACGUGUUCGCUGUGAUCCUUCACACCCACCUACUGGGCAGGAAAGUGCGCGUGCGCCACCUGCGCCAGGGACGGGAGCUAGAGCCCAUCGCCCAGGACAACAACUAUGACUUCAACUACCAGGAAUAUCGAGCAUUGAAGAUUCCCCGCACCGUCCUCCCGGGUGAUCACCUUAUAGGCGAGUGUACGUACAACAGCCGGGAGCGGUCGAGCAUCACCUUAGGAGGCUUCAAAACACGAGAUGAGAUGUGCCUCUCCUACCUCUUCUACUGGCCCCGAGUGGACCUCUCUCUCUGCCACUCCAAGCCCUCCCUCAACACCGUGCUUCACUCCCUGGGUAUCGAGGAGCUGUCAGCGAACUCGGACCCCAUUAAGAUCCGGCGGCCCAUCGAGCUGGCAGGGAAGUCGUUGGAGUGGCGACUGAUGAACUACGACUGGAAGAAUCAGUUCGACUACUUCCAGCAAACGACUCACAGUGGCACUUUCAACCCCAUCUGCUGGAGGCGUGGGGAGUCUCUCAUUCCCGAGGCAGAGAAACUGGACUACGAGUACCCUAACAUCACCGAGUCGUGGGUGUCAGAAAACGUGUGUAGGCAGCGCAGAAAGAAGAGCAAAAGGCGCAAGUUGAAGAAUGGACGCGGCAAGAACCGGCACCUGCUCCCGAAUAGCGACAUGGAGGAGGGAGAGGAAGAGGAGGAGGAAGAAGAGGAAGAGGAGGUGAUGUUCGAUGACCAGACCAAUUCCAGACCUAUUGAGAGGAUUGACGUCGACCCGUUCAAUCAUGUUGAUGUCUUUAUGCCCGUAAUUGAAGAGAGGGUAGAAAACGACCCCUUCGGAGUGGACGAAUCUCCAAAUCAGGAACUGGAACAGGAGUUGCUAGAUAUGGAAAGGGACUUGGAAAAGGAACUUGCUGACAAGUACCCCGACGCUUUCCACGAGCGAACUGAACACCAAAAUAGGGAGGGUACAGGUAGCAGCAGCUGCCUGAGGGUCGUCACCUCUCAGUGGACGUUCUCUGUGUGCCUCUGUGUCUUGUCUCUCGCUCGGCUCUUCUACGGACAUGGCUGAGGCUGAGGGAUGAGGGCACCAAAGAAAACAACUUCGCCUCUCUGAUGUCCCAAGUGUGUUAAUUUUUAAGGACAUAAUAUGUGCUGUGAAAACAAAUCGUUGUUAAUAAACGAUAUCUGGGGGUUAAAAAAAAUAUAUAUAUAUAAUAGCCUCUUGAUCUUUACAACUCUCAGAGAUUUGGCUCUAGCAUUUAUCUCCACAUGCGGACGGUUCACCUGCCUUAGGGAUGUGCAAAGGACCCUCACAUAAUUGUGUUGAGUGUUGCGUUCGUGUGUGUGGUGUGUGUGUGUGUGUGUGUGGGUGGGUGGGUGCGUAUGUGCGCGUGUGAGUGCGUGCGUAUGUGUGUGUGUGUGUGUGUGUUUGGGGGAGGGAGUGGGGGAGUGGUUGGAGUUUCCUUGAGGGUGUUGGAAGUUUACUUAGCCAACCAACUCAGACGUAGCCACUCUCCCCAUCUUCACUAGGGACUCCCACCCUGCUAUAUUAACAGUGCCUCUUUUUUGUAAAUUUUUCUUUUAUGUGUUUCUUGGGGCAUUUCGUAUGUUCACGUGAGAAAUAUUGUGAUGAUUAGUCUCAUGUUUUAUAAAUCUGUGCAAAAUUGAAGUUGUAGAUAAUAAUAUAUGGAACAGAUACAAAUAUUUUGUUUAUAGGACCAAGUGAAUUACGUUCUGUGAGCCGCUCCUUAGUCUGUAGAUAAUUGUCACAGAAGAAUUAAUUUUGUAUUUUGAACUUGUACUUUACAAACAGUGUAUUUUGCUUGGUGGAAGGUUAUAUAUAUCGAGCUUCGUGUGCUUGAGAAUCCAUAAUUUUCUAAGAUGCAUUUUCAAAGUUUUUUUUUAAUUUACCAGAUGUACUGUAUAUUAGGAUGCUAGAAAUCUUUUUAUCUCCACGAAAAAAAGCAGUAAACUAAUAAUUUCCUUCUGCAUCAAAGGUUUCUUGGCUCAUGAUGUUUUUAUAAAAUUUUUCGCAUUAUUCAUUAUUUUUAUGGUUAUAAACUCAGUCCAUAUAUCUAUAUAUACAAAUAUAUAUAUAUAUAAAUUGUACAUCUUAGCAGUAUCUGUGAUUAGAUAUUUAUGUUGCAUAGACAACUCAUGAGUUGAUGAAUCACUACGAGGUGUGGCGCUGUGCACUGGGUCAGCACGACUCCUGGGCCAUUACGACCCCCUGGGGGCAUUUCGACCCCUGGAGUAUUAUGAGCACCAUGGGCCAUUGCGACACUUAAGCCAUUACAACCAUAUUGGCCAGUGCGACCUAUUUGUCAUCACAAACCCUGGGUUGUAUGACUCCUGGGCCAGCAAAGACCCUUACUGACACCUGCGAAGCACGACCCCUGGGCCUGUAUGGUACUUGGGGUCAGCACGACUCCUGGGCAGCACGACCCCUGGGCCUUUAUGGUACCUGGGGUCAGCAAGACUCCUGGGCCUGUAUGGUACCUGGGGUCAGCACGACUCCUGGGCAGCACGACCCCUGGGCAAGCAUGAUCCCUGGGUUGUUAACACGACCCUUGGGGCCGGUAUGACCCCUCAAGCCUCCGUCUCAUCUUUCAAAACUUGUUCUCUCUCACAUUGUUUACAAACAAUAUUUACAAAAUUCUUUACUAGUAAAACUUGGAAAGUGUCAGUUUGAGAUCAAUGUGCAGAGUUUAAACUCACGAUUUUGUAAAGACAAGCCCUGAGUUUAAGUGCAGAUGUCAGAAGUAAAUAUUGCAACCAAGAAUCUAUUUCGUUUUAACAUGAAAAAUGGUGGCAUGACAAAAUAAAAUAUACACACACAAAAAAAGAGAUAUCUGCUUGGAAAUCAUACCAGUCUAAUGUAGUCGAGCCAGAGUAAAAGUACAGCCGGAGGGUUGUGGGGGUGGGGAGAAGUGCACACCCCGCGGCAUCAGGGCCGACUCUCGUCUCCUCCGCUCAGAAGCAAAAGGGUCAAACCUUUUUGGCCAAGAUCUAUUGUGUUUGCAGAUGUGGCAUCAAGUUCAUCAUUUAUUCCCCGAGUGGAGGCCCUAGCAAACAUGAUGCUCCUGCAACUUAAGAACUUAUUUUAUGAGACGGGACAACGUGCCUCUUUUAAAACCCAAACAAGUUGAGAGCUUCCAAGAUUAAGCACUAUAUAAUGAAAUUAUAAAAGUAACCAGUUCCCUUCUAUAAUGCAGUCAUUAGUAUUCCUAUCUUAGCUUGGAAUUAAUCAUUUGAGAAAACACACGUCUUGCGCUAUUGUGAUAGAACCCAUAUAGAAUACUGUACCUAAACACAUUUUAGAAACAGUAUUGAUCCUCACAGUGCAAGCAGCAUGGCACUAUACCCUAAAAAACCUCAUCAGUGAAUGAUAAUGUAAUAUACAUACUGUGUGAUGGAUAAUACGUGUAAAUAGAUUAGAAGAUGAAACCAUCCGAAUGAGGAUUCAUAUGCAGUGUGUAUACUCAUAAUGUCCACUUCGUACUAAUACUUGCACUCUGAGUGCUGAUACGUGCUAUCGACAAAUCCUACGUGCAUGGGAGAACUGCUAUGCAUAGGUGAAUGCCCACAUUUUUGUCGACCCUCUCAUAUGACAUCGCAACAUCUACGCAGAUAUGUGUAGUGUGAGCAGAGAAGGGUUCCAAUGAGCACUACGUGUGGGUAUGCAAGAGUUUACAUGCACUGUAAGUAUUAAUACUUGCACUGUGAGUUCUGAUACAUAUAUGAGUAGUGAUACAGGCACUAUGGGUGCUGCUAUGUGCGUUGUAAACACUAAUUUACACAUUACCGACAGCUGAUGUAUGCACUCGCGCGAAGUUUGAAUGUGAACAUUUCGUACUGAUACGUGCUCCACGAGUAUUACACACACACACUAGUUGAGUGACUUAACUGUGGCUAAAUAUAACGUGAGCUAUGAUUGCUGAACUAUGUAUUCUGAGUGUUGAUACGUGCACUUUAACCCCUAAACUGUGCAGUUAUUUAAAAGCACUGCGUCUAGUUGGCGUACGACUAAAAAUAGUUAACAAAUGAAAUGGGGGGAAGGGAAAUGCAAAAACGCAUAUUUACGUUUGGCGCAGUGUAAGGGUUAAACACUGAUAUCUGCGCUGGGAACCGACCAGUGCGUGGGUGUGCCAAUGCCUGCUGGAUGGAUAUUGUUCCGAGUGUGUGUUAGUACUGGUACCUGCAUGUUAUUGCAAAAGCACCAGUAUUGAUGCUGAUCGAUAUUAAUAUGGUUGCAGAUAUUUUACUACUGGUGCUUGCAUGUUUGUACUAGUGCUUGCAUGUUAGUAUUGGUGCAUGCAUGUUAGUACUGGUGCAUGCAUGUUAAUACUAAUGCUUUCAUGUUAGUUCUAGUGCUUAUAUGUUAGUGCUAGUGCUUUUAUGUUAGUGCUAGUGCUUGUAUGUUAGUACUAGUGCUUUCAUGUUAGUACUAGUGCUUGCAUGUUAGUACUGGUGCCUGGAUAUUUAUACUGGUGCUUGCAUUCCAAUACUCGUGCUUGUAUGUUUGAAUUGGUGCUUGCAUGUUAGCACUAGUGCUUGCAUGUUAGUAUACGUACUUUCAUAUUUGUACUAGUAACUUGGUGCCUCUAUGUUAGUACUGGUGCUUGUGUAUGUUAGGUACUGGUGCGUGCAUGUUAGUACUAGAGAGUACAUAUUGGUUAAGGGGGCUUUGUAUGUUACUAUUGUUGCUUGGAUGCCAGUACUAGUUCUUGCAUGAUGGUACUAAUGCAUUCAUAGUAGUACUGGUACUUUCAUGAGAGCUCUGGUGCUUGCAUGGCAAUUCUGAAACUUCACUUUGAGUCCUGGUUCUGCUUACGUUUACAGUCAAGGGUAAUUAAUACCUGUGCCAUACUACUAACAACGUUGAACAGCAUUCUUCUUCUGGGCCACUAGGUGUGUAGAGCAACAUACCUGUACUGUGCCACCAGGUGUGUGUAGAGCAACAUACCUGUACUGUGCCACCAGGUGUGUGUAGAGCAACAUACCUGUACUGUGCCACCAGGUGUGUGUAGAGCAACAUACCUGUACUUUGCCACCAGGUGUGUAGAGCAACAUACAUGUACUGUGCCACCAGGUGUGUAGAGCAACUUACCUGCUCUGUACCACCAGGUGUGUAGAGCAUCAUAUCUGUACUGUGCCACCAGGUGUGUAGAGCAGCAUUACCGUGCCGGCAAGUGUGUUAAGCUGCUUAGCCUGGAGAUGCGCCUGGCACUCAGUGCCAGUGCUCUGGAACAGCACACCUGUGUCGGCUGGUGAAGUCUCUAUAACCAAGAGGCGAAAGUCUGCUGCACACAAGACACCUGUUGAUGUAUGUCCACACACAGGACACGUGUCCUUGUAUGUCGACGCACAGGGCACGCGUCCAACUACCUACGUUAGGGGUUUGCUAGUUUUAUCCGGCAAAAUAUUCAUUUGAUUUUAAUUUAAAUUCAAGAAUUUUAACAUGUAGAUUGAACUCACUUGAGACAUGAGUGACUGACUUUUCAGAGUAUUAACAAUGGGAGAAGGACAUCUGCCUUGAUUAUUGUGCGGGGGGUCUGACUCCCCCUGUGAAGGCGAUAAUCGUGGUCUCACAAUACCUCUUUAAAGUGUUCCAGUUUGUGGCCAUGACAGCGUGACUUUUUGGACUAAUACUUCUCUCUCUCUCUCUCUCUCUCUCUCUCUCUCUCUCUCUCUCUCUCUCUCUCUCUCUCUCUCUCUCUCUCUCUCUCUCUCUCUCUCUCUCUCUCUCUCUCUCUCUUUCUCUCUCUCUCCACACACACACUUACUCCACCGGAUUCCGUGAUCACCACUACACAUACUGAGUGUUGCUUCAGUGUCUUGUGAGACUGACCAACCACCAUCUUCGCUUCAGCCAGAGCACAUGACUUCGUUCCUCUCACCUUGAGCACUCACAAGACUCAAUUGUAGUAGCAUAUAUUUAUAUAUUUAUAGAGGUGUAAACCUUAGAUUAAAUAUUAUUAUUCACUGACUAAAAGAGCGUUGAAUGUAAACAAGGGUUGGGAGAGAGAGAGCACUACCAGUCUGAAGUAGAUGAGUGUAUGUGUCGAUACACUUGUGCUCUUUAUGAGCUUCUGUGUUCCUGAUCGCAAGUGUUUGUUAGCACAGGUAGUCACGAUAACAAAGUGUUCUCGAGCACAGUUAUUCAUGAGCAUAAGUGUUCAUGAGAGCAGGUGCUCAUGGGCGGAGGUGUUCACAACCGCAGGUGUUCUGGAAUUCAGGUUUUGAUCAGACUCGCAGGAUGCUGAAGGAUUCUGGAGCUGGUGUAAAAUAUAACGUCGGUAAGGAUUGUAUUUAUACUAUGGUUUGUGAGACUGCAACUGUAGAAUGCUGGUCCUACACACACACUUUCUAGCCAUAACUCAGUUUAACGAGUGGAAUUUCACUAUUGCCGGUCUCGAAUAAUCUGAAAUUCGCUUUGCAGUCAUUCCAGUCUACAGUCAUUCCAACCCUCUUUAGUCAGGCUAGAACCAUUAUAGCAGAUUUUCGUCAUGCCGCAGACAGCCCAGUUCUCUUCAUUUCAGUUACUUGUAUUUCUCACGUAAACUUUGCUCUCAGAGAUCACAUGCAAAUACAGUCCAUGCAAACGAAGAACUGAGACGAUGGGCAUGCCAACCCCUCACAGAGUACACCACUGUUAUGUUCCUAAUUUCCAAGAUCUGUAACUGCAAUAUUCCCUUCUGCGAUGAUGGUGUUCUUCAGAUAUUGAGUGUAUUAUAUAUAUAUAUAUAU